GUUUGAUCCUGGCUCAGGAUGAACGCUAGCGACAGGCCUAACACAUGCAAGUCGAGGGGCAGCACAUGAGUAGCAAUACGAUGGUGGCGACCGGCGCACGGGUGAGUAACACGUAUGCAACCUGCCUGUAAGAGGGGAAUAACCCGGAGAAAUUCGGACUAAUACCGCAUAAUACCACGAGACUGCAUGGUUUUGUUGGUUAAACAUUUAUGGCUUACAGAUGGGCAUGCGUAUGAUUAGAUAGUUGGUAGGGUAACGGCCUACCAAGUCUACGAUCAUUAGGGGUUCUGAGAGGAAGGUCCCCCCACACUGGUACUGAGACACGGACCAGACUCCUACGGGAGGCAGCAGUGAGGAAUAUUGGUCAAUGGGCGAGAGCCUGAACCAGCCAAGUCGCGUGAAGGAAGAAGGUUCUAUGGAUUGUAAACUUCUUUUGCAGGGGAAUAAAGGACGGUACGUCGUACUCGUUUUGUAUGUACCUUGCGAAUAAGGAUCGGCUAACUCCGUG
rnacentral:rRNA from 1 species